GAUCCGAUGGCCAAGCGGUUAAAGCAUCCGACUCGGAUGCGGGAGAUAGCGGGUUCCAUCCCCGGCCGAGUCA